UUGCUGGCAUUCAUCGACACUCGCCCCCUCUCUCCUCUCCCUCCCAUUUACACCUCCGAAAGGCAACAAAAGCAAAAAGGUCUACAGCCCAACACAUCAAAGUACACUGCACUCCUUAGCUUUUCAGCAGUAAUCUGUCACUGGAGAACGCCGACGCGUUGCUGGGCCUUCUCUUUUUCGGUUGUUGGUGCGCUGUUACUUGGCGCCUUGCUACCUACACCACCACCGCUAACACUACGCGCCCCUCCCUCCUCCCCCUCCCUCUCCUUGCCUUCUCUCUACUGCCGCGUACCGUUCUUAGUUUUACCCUCUUACUUGUAAGCACCAUUCACGCGUUAAAUCUACUCAUUUUGUACGUGUGUCGCUGUGUUGUCUCGCUCUCGCUCUCUCUCUUCUUGGUCCUCUCUCCCUUCCUCCUCGAGCACAAAACACACACGCACGCCAGAAACCUAACAAGGCCACAUACGGUUCUCUCUCCUUAAUUUCUUUUUCGGAUUCAUUCUUCGUCUACGGUGUAAGUGCUUGCCCUGCAUAAAACACGCAAGCGGCUAUCCGUAGGGGAAGGGACAGCCAUACACACACGCACACAGACACACACAGGCGCGCACGCCGAAGAAGGGACACGAAAUCUGCAACGCAGCGGUGUCGGUCUCCUUCGACGAGGUCCUUCCCGAUCUUCACCCUUAGACGCACCUUUUUUUUUUCGCAGGUUAUCGGCCUCAGCCCUCCCUGAUCGGUUAUCUUCGCUUUUCUAUCCGCCGUACGCGCACUCACACUCCCGCCUACGAGAUCGUUUUGAUUUCGAGGCACCCCUCUUGCUUGCUGUGAACUUACUUGUACUCUCCGUUGAUUUCUUCAUUUUCUGUGCGUGCUUCCUUUUUCACCCGUUCCUUGUGUAUUGCUGUUGACGGCGUCUGUGCCUGUUCGUGUAUAGGUCUACUCCCUCUCCCGCGCUUCGCCUUUUCCCGGUUGUUAGGUAGUCGACGGAUUUUGUGGCUUUUAACGAGAUCUGGAUUCGCGGCCAUUCUCGUGUCUCAUCGCCCUCUACGCUAGGCCCACCCUCGCUCUAAUCCCAGCCAUGCUGCGCAGCACGUUGCGGCGGCUGACGAAGCCGAACGUCGUGGUGCUAGGCACGGGAUGGGCCGGCUGCUACGCUGCUCACCACGUUGACCCCAACUUGUGCAACAUCCACGUCAUCUCGACUCGCAACCACAUGGUCUUCACCCCGCUGCUGCCGCAGACGACGACUGGCACGCUUGAGUUCCGCUCCGUAUGUGAGCCCAUCACGAACAUUCAGCCUGCUCUUGCAAAGCCCCCACACCGCUUCCUUCGAAGCGUCAUCUACGACGUGGAUUUCGACGAGAAGCAGGUGAAGUGUGUGGGCGUCGGCGUUGUUGGCGGCUCGGAAAAUGUGCCGGUUAACACAUUUAGCGUCCCGUAUGACUACCUCAUCAUGGCGUACGGUGCCCGCCCCAACACGUUCAACAUCCCUGGUGUGGAGGAGAAAGCGUUCUUCCUGCGUGAGGUGAACGAGGCCCGCGGCAUCCGCAAGCGCCUCGUGCAGAACAUCAUGACCGCUAAUCUUCCAACCACCUCGAUCGCGGAGGCGAAGAGGCUGCUGCACACGGUGGUCGUGGGUGGCGGUCCAACAGGUAUCGAGUUUGCCGCCAACCUCGCCGAGUUUUUCCGGGAAGACAUCAAGAACGUCAACACCUCACUGCUGCCAUACUGUAAGGUGACCGUGCUGGAGGCGGGUGAGGUACUCGGAUCCUUUGAUACCGCGCUGCGGCGAUACGGCCAGCUCCGGCUGAACCAGCUGGGUGUCGAAAUCCGCAAGACAGCCGUAGUGGGUGUGACAGACGAGGAGGUGUUCACCAAGUCAGGCGAGGUGCUGCCGACCGGGUUGGUGGUGUGGAGCACCGGUGUCGGCUCGGGUCCGGUCACGAAGGCACUGAAGUGCGACAAAACGAAUCGCGGACGCAUCUCCAUCGACGACCACUUGCGCGUUCUGCGCGAUGGCAAGCCGAUCCCGAACGUGUUUGCCGCUGGCGACUGCGCGGCCAGCAACGAGAGACCGCUGCCGACGCUGGCCGCCGUCGCCUCACGCCAGGGCCGCUACAUCGGGAAGGAGAUGAACAAUCUGCUCAAGGGAAAGCAGAUGAGCAGACCGUUUGUGUACCGCAGUCUGGGUAGCAUGGCCUCCAUCGGCAACCGCUCCGCCAUCGUCUCGCUCGGCGACAAGUUUAAGUUUGACCUGAACGGCUGUGCGGCGCUGUGGGUGUGGAAAAGCGCCUACCUCACGAUCCUCGGCUCGAUCCGCAGCAAGCUUUACGUAAUCGUGAAUUGGGCCGGCAGCCAGAUCUUCGGCCGCGAUAUCACGUACAUUGGCGACCUUGCUGAGGACCGCAUGUACUCGGCCCUGGCAGUAGAGGAGGUGUCGAAGGAGAUGAGCCGCAAGAAGACUCCCGAGAUGCUGCACGCUGUGAAUCCAGAGAGCAACUAUACCUCUUCUGUCGAGAAAGAGGGUGCUAACAAGGGAUUCCUGCCUCGAAAGCUUGGGGAGUCGACACCACUGGCUCCGCAUGGACAAGCCAUCGAGGGCUCCCAGGUGGCUCACGCAGCAGCCGCUGCCACAUCGGCCGAACCCGAAAAGAAAAUGUAGUAUGGGUGUUAUGUUGACGUGAGCGUGCGGGGGAGGAGGAUGGUUG
rnacentral:misc_RNA from 1 species